rnacentral:rRNA from 1 species
AUUGAACGCUGGCGGCAGGCUUAACACAUGCAAGUCGAGCGCCCCGCAAGGGGAGCGGCAGACGGGUGAGUAACGCGUGGGAACGUACCCUUUACUACGGAACAACUCCGGGAAACUGGAGCUAAUACCGUAUGUGCCCUUUGGGGGAAAGAUUUAUCGGUAAAGGAUCGGCCCGCGUUGGAUUAGCUAGUUGGUGGGGUAAAGGCCUACCAAGGCGACGAUCCAUAGCUGUUCUGAGAGGCUGAACAGCCACAUUGGGACUUAGACACGUCCCAAACUCCGACGGGAGGCAGCAGUGGGGAAUAUUGGACAAUGGGCGCAAGCGUGUUCCAGUCAUGCCGCGUGAAUGAUGAAGGCCUUAGGGUUGUAAAGUUCUUUCACCGGAGAAGAUAAUGACGGUAUCCGGAGAAGAAGCCCCGGCUAACAUCGUGCCAGCCGCCGCCGUAAAAC